CAGGGGAGGGGGAUGGUCCCUCAGCCCAGAUUGCAAGAGGGUGCAGGCCAGGCCAAGGGACCCCACUGGUGCACA
rfam:Myotis lucifugus cont2.10870, whole genome shotgun sequence.